rnacentral:lncRNA from 1 species
GUGCACUAAUUUUGUGUACAAGAUAAUGCCAAAUACGUCUAAAUGGAUUCAAGCGAAAUACAAUCCAAAAUCUCAUACCGACUUGAAGACCCGUCGAACUAUGACCAUCUUGUUCUUCACAAGCUAUGGCUCCGACUUCCUGCUAUCAAAAGCCACUACAACCUCCAGCAGUGACCAUCAAAAUAACCAUUAGUAGCUGCCCAACGAAAAUUUCGACCAUAAGA